UCUUUUUCUCUCUUUUUUUCUUUUUUCUCUCUGCCAAAAAAACUUGGCUUCGUACUGUUAAUUGAUUUGUUUUAUUUGAGGUGAGAAAAAGAAUCUAGAAGAUAAUUAUCUCAGUUCUUGAUUGUGCUCAUGGCCUACGUAAGUGUGGCUCCUUCAAUGGAUUAAGACACCUCUUCAAAUCCCUAAUUCCAUCUCUGAUCUUGAAAAUUUCCUGAUUUGAGUUUUCUGCGUGGAUUUUUUGUAGUGGACACCACUCUGAAGAAGAAGGUUGUGGAGAAAAUGGCCAUUGCCACCGGCCACGAGCUAGGAGCGUGCAGCUGAACUUGAGGGAAAGAAUAUCCUGGAAAUCGACCAUCCCAAAGGUCCUUUCGGCACAAAGAUGGACAGGGAGAUAUGAAUCUCAUUUAUGGGACAAAAGGUCUUGGCAUCCAACAGAAAGGAAGAAGGGAAAGAAAAUUUAUCUGGAUAGACAUAUCUUAAAUCAGCUAACACGAUGAAUUUACAAGGGCUUAUGGUGAAGAAGAAUCCUCAGCAGGAGUGUAUGAUUUGGCAGUACUCAAGUACUGGGGAACAUCAACUUUUACAAAUUCCCAGUGUCCGAUUACGAGAAUGAAAUUGAUCUGUUGAACACUCUAACAAGAGAAAAAUACUAGGCCUCUCUAAGAAGAAGAAGCAGUGGCUUUUCAAGUGGUGUAUCCAAGUACAGAGGAGUUGCCAGGCUAAGCAAAUGGAAUCAUACAGAAACUGAUGGUUAAUCCGGGCAGCAUAAUUAAGUUAUAGUCAUAAUUUGGUGAGAGAGAUCUUGGUACUUGGAAAAAGAGUUGUAUGGUUCAUAGAAACUAAUCACUGAUCUGGGCAGCAUAAUUGAGCUGCAAGCAAUGCAUAUAUUUAUGAGCAGGGCCAUUAAUGCAGUAUAAGAGCUUAGUUGAGCAAGGGAAGCUGCAACAGGAUCUGAACCAAGUUUAUGUAUAUGCAAUUGAUUUCACAGGCCAUAAUGAGAAUAGAUAAAGAGAGAUGAUUGAGGGGAGCUUUCCACCAAUUAGAGAAGCAUGGGCAAUUCUCUGAAUCUGAUGCAAGGGUUCUCUUUGGGCAUCUGAUUCGGGUAGUUUUAUACUGUCAUGAAAAUGGGUUGAGAGUUGAUGGCUUUGGACAAAAGCCUUCUCAUCUCCAAUAAAAUUGGCAGACUUUGGUCUUGCAACUUACGUCAGGGCUGCAACAUGGCAAGGUGUGCUUGGGGAUAUUGAAUGGCUCUGAAGUAGAACUGAAGUAUUGAACAUUAUAGGAGGUAUUACUUUGCUAGAUAAAAUUGUGAUAUAUGACGAGGAAAACCAGCAAAUUGGAUUGGUUUCAGCAAAUUGCAAUUGUCUCACUUGAACAAAUUAAACUCCUAGAUUCCCUAAACUCCAUGUAAAUGGUGCUAUGUUAUGACGAGAUGGAGAAUAAGAAAGAUAUUAGAUGGAAGAUAUCAAUUUUGUCGAUUGCUGAAGCAAAGAGGAAUGAACUACAAUAUUUUCAAAUCCAGUUGAAACUGUAUAUACAAAUCACAAUCAUUUGCUGCGGGUUGAGAAACUACUUAUCAACCAAGCAACUGAUACUUCAUAAUAAACAAAACAAAUGUACUUGAAAUGGCCUUUCAUCAUUUCUUAACAAAUGAAUAAUUUCAUUAACCAUGCAUAUGUAAUUAUACUUCUCUCAAUUAUUCACAUCAUUAAUAGAGUUUUACAUACAAAAUUGU
rnacentral:lncRNA from 1 species